UACGUAGGGUGCAAGCGUUAAUCGGAAUUACUGGGCGUAAAGCGUGCGCAGGCGGUUUGGUAAGACAGAUGUGAAAUCCCCGGGCUUAACCUGGGAAUUGCAUUUGUGACUGCCCGGCUAGAGUUUGGCAGAGGGGGGUAGAAUUCCACGUGUAGCAGUGAAAUGCGUAGAUAUGUGGAGGAAUACCGAUGGCGAAGGCAGCCCCCUGGGUCAAGACUGACGCUGAGGCGCGAAAGCUGGGGGAGCGAACGGG
rnacentral:rRNA from 1 species